AACGAACGCUGGCGGCAUGCCUAACACAUGCAAGUCGAACGAGACCUUCGGGUCUAGUGGCGCACGGGUGCGUAACGCGUGGGAACCUGCCCUUAGGUUCGGCAUAACUCCCCGAAAGGGGUGCUAAUACCGGAUAAUGUCUUCGGACCAAAGAUUUAUCGCCUUUGGAUGGGCCCGCGUUGGAUUAGCUAGUUGGUAGGGUAAAAGCCUACCAAGGCGACGAUCCAUAGCUGGUCUGAGAGGAUGAUCAGCCACGCUGGGACUGAGACACGGCCCAGACUCCUACGGGAGGCAGGAGUGGGGAAUAUUGGACAAUGGGCGAAAGCCUGAUCCAGCAAUGCCGCGUGAGUGAUGAAGGCCUUAGGGUUGUAAAGCUCUUUUACCCGGGAUGAUAAUGACAGUACCGGGAGAAUAAGCUCCGGCUAACUCCGUG
rnacentral:rRNA from 1 species